UGCCCAAAUACAAGAUAGUUGUUAUAGACCGUUGAGAGAAAUACCCACACUGUAUUAUAUGUCAAUGAUAUUAAGUAUUUUUUUAAUUUUCGAAUCGUUUGGGGUUGAAACCCUCGGGUCGUGGGGUCCGAAUGCCCACAUUUUAUUUAAAUAACUCUCAAGGCGGCUGGUUGACGCUUAUUGUGACCACAAGGCUGGCUAUUACCUCGGACAAAGGAUACGUAUGGCGAUCCAACGAGGUAAUGUUGCCAGCCUCUUGGGUACGCUCCCGGUCGACAGCGAUGGCGACAAAUUUUUUGAUGCUUUUUAGUUUUAGUUUUGUUUAAUAGAAUAGUUUUUAAUUAAAUGUAAAUACGUAAUUAUUAUGAUGAUGAAACAAAACGUAAUAAAUUCCAAUUUUUAAUUAUAUUCUGUUAAUUAUCUUCUAAAUAAAAUUUAAAUGGCUGUAGCUCCAGAACUGUUAUAACUUUCCUAGGUUUAUAUCAUAUUUGUCUUCUCUACAGUAUUCUACCUAAGAAAGCAUAAACUGUAAAGAUUUUGUGAUUUUCCGUACUUCUCUCGAUAGUUGAUUAAAAUUCUGCACGCUGAUUAAUAAUAAAUAACUAUAAACAUCCUGUGGUUAAUCUCACUAUUUUAGAUAAAUUCGUCACAUAUAAUGAGCAAUAUGAAUAAUGUGAUUUUUAAUUAUAAUUAACAAGAAAAUAUGUAAGUUAACUGUAAACAGGAGACUAUCAAUGGCUCUAGUUUUCUACCUAGAAUAUUAUCUUUUUAUAUAACUUGCUAUUCGUAUCGUAUCAAACCGCAGUUUCACUGGGUCCCCAGAAUCCUACUCACCGCAAAAAAAGUUGCCUAUAUGCAUCUGUAGCGUCAGCUAUUUUACAAAUAAACAAUACAGAGUCACUUUCACAUAUUUUACAAUAUUAAAUUAAAAUUAAAUAUUUGGAUAUAUCAGGCCCUUACAUUUAAAAUGCAGCCAACUCAACUCCUCUUUGAGGAUCCUGACAGCGAAAUUUCAUAUUUUUUUUAGCAAAUUAAAGGUCUAAUAAUACCAAAUAAGCGAUAUUAUUCACAAUAUACUAAACAUAAUGUCUCAAAAUUUUCAGAUCACAAUGAUAACGCAAGUGUUAGUUUUGUUCUGCGUUUGCGCAUGCGUGGUAGCUGAUGACGCUGCGCCCGCGCCGCCGUACCUCCAACAUCUGACAGCCAUGUAUACGGAAGGUGAAAUAGUCGUGGAAGAGGUCUUACCCCUGUUGGACGAUAUACCGUACCUGGACAGUCCUCAACGACAUUUUGCUGCAAUAUUGUACUUUAUUAACACUGCAGCUCGAAAGAGAUCCGGCUGUGUGUAAGUUACCUAAGUACUUACGUGAAAACUUAUUCAUUAUAUACUGAGAUUAUUGUUUUUUUGUGACUAAAACUAUUGUAUUUUUUAGUGUCACGAACUAUAACGAAGAAUACGUGAAACUCGUCAACAGCUCGGCGCUCGAGGGGUUCGCUAAUCCACAAGCCGCAGUAGAUGAACUUGCUGAUCUAAUGACAACUUUACAACAGAAAUUAAAAAAAAUAGUAUACCUGAUAGAAGACACAGACCCUGACAUGGAAGAAAACAAACGCAAUGCAUUAGUAGACCAGCGCAUUAAAGGAGAUUUAGCGUCCUAUGAAACACCAGCUGCAAUGUUCAUGGCUGCCGGUGAGGCUGCAAUAAAAGCCGAAGAUCUUAACAAAGAAAUUUAUAGAGCCGCGUAUGAUUUAAGUGGUUUAAAUUUCAUUAUUAAUGGAGCUGACAAACUUAAAGAAGUUAUAGAGGCUACUGCUGCACUUCAUCGAACACUUAAUGGCUUUCGUUGUUGAAAGCUUCAAUCAAAAUAAAAAUUCAAUAUUUUUUUACACAACUCAAAUAGUUUGUGAAAAUGUUUGUGUUAGCUAGCAAUCUCUUAUAACCAACCUGUUGGGGA